GUGCUCACUUAGGCAGCACAUAUACUAAAAGUGGAACGAUUCAGAGAAGAUUUGCAUGGCCCUGUGCAAGGAUGACAUGCAAAUUUGUGAAGUGUUGCACAUUUUU
rnacentral:snRNA from 1 species